rnacentral:rRNA from 1 species
UACAGAGGUCCCAAGCGUUGUUCGGAUUCACUGGGCGUAAAGGGUGCGUAGGCGGUCGGGUAAGUCUGAUGUGAAAUCUCACAGCUCAACUGUGAAACUGCAUUGGAUACUAUCCGGCUCGAGGAAUGGAGGGGAGACUGGAAUACUUGGUGUAGCAGUGAAAUGCGUAGAUAUCAAGUGGAACACCAGUGGCGAAGGCGAGUCUCUGGACAUUUCCUGACGCUGAGGCACGAAAGCCAGGGGAGCAAACGGG